UAGGGAAUCUUCGGCAAUGGACGAAAGUCUGACCGAGCAACGCCGCGUGAGUGAAGAAGGUUUUCGGAUCGUAAAACUCUGUUGUUAGAGAAGAACAAGGACGUUAGUAACUGAACGUCCCCUGACGGUAUCUAACCAGAAAGCCACGGCUAACUACGUGCCAGCAGCCGCGGUAAUACGUAGGUGGCAAGCGUUGUCCGGAUUUAUUGGGCGUAAAGCGAGCGCAGGCGGUUUCUUAAGUCUGACGUGAAAGCCCCCGGCUCAACCGGGGAGGGUCAUUGGAAACUGGGAGACUUGAGUGCAGAAGGGGAGAGUCGAAUUCCAUGUGUAGCGGUGAAAUGCGUAGAUAUAUGGGGGAACACCAGUGGCGAAGGCGGCUCUCUGGUCUGUAACUGACGCUGAGGCUCGAAAGCGUGGGGAGCAAACAGG
rnacentral:rRNA from 1 species